rnacentral:rRNA from 1 species
CGGGUAGCGGAACACGUACGCAAUCUACCUUUAUCUGGGGCAUAGCCCGGAGAAAUCCGGAUUAAUACCCCGUAACAUAUUUUAGUGGCAUCACUUAGAUAUUAAAACUCCGGUGGAUAGAGAUGAGCGUGCGUCCCAUUAGCUAGUUGGUAGGGUAACGGCCUACCAAGGCGACGAUGGGUAGCUGGUGUGAGAGCACGACCAGCCACACGGGCACUGAGACACGGGCCCG